GUUGGAAUUAACCGCCCCCUUUUAAAAGCCCUUCUCUCUGGUUAGCCCCUGGAAACUGGGCUUAAUGCCGGAUACGCCCGCCUCGAGUAGAUCGGGGCGGGGAAAGAUUUAUCGGGGAAGGAUCGGCCCGCGUCGGAUUAGGUAGUUGGUGGGGUAACGGCCUACCAAGCCGACGAUCCGUAGCUGGUUUGAGAGGAUGAUCAGCCACACUGGGACUGAGACACGGCCCAGACUCCUACGGGAGGCAGCAGUGGGGAAUCUUGGACAAUGGGGGCAACCCUGAUCCAGCCAUGCCGCGUGAGCGAUGAAGGCCUUAGGGUUGUAAAGCUCUUUCAGCGGGGAAGAUAAUGACGGUACCCG
rnacentral:rRNA from 1 species